CAAGUCACAGAGGGUUGCCACUGAAAGACCAUUGAGAAGAAUGGUUGCCUCAACCUCUCAAGGUCAUAGUUCUGAAGACUGGAGGUGAGCUUGUGGGUAAUGGAAAAGGCAACCAUAGAGAGAGUACUGAAUGCUUCCCUCUUGCCAGACUCAAAACUCCGGCUAGUGGGUUUCUCAGCUGACAAAAUGACACGAUUGAAGCCAAAUCAGACGUAACAAGGCAUCUGAAGGAAAAAGAGGUAUUUUCUAGAAGCUUGGAGCCUUGGUGUCCA
rnacentral:lncRNA from 1 species